UACGGCCACGUCAAGUUGAGACAUCGCUUCCUGUAUGAUCACCGAAGUUAAGCAACGUCGAUCCUGGUCAGUACCUAGAUGUGUGACCGCUUGGGAGUACCUGGCGCUGUAAG